CCUACGGGAGGCAGCAGUGAGGAAUAUUGCACAAUGGGGGGAACCCUGAUGCAGCCAUGCCGCGUGUAUGAAGAAGGCCUUAGGGUUGUAAAGUACUUUCAAUAGUGAAGAUUAUGACGGUAGCUAUAGAAGAAGCCCSGGCUAAAUUCGUGCCAGCAGCCGCGGUAAUACGAAUGGGGCAAGCGUUGUUCGGAAUAACUGGGCUUAAAGCGUGCGCAGGCGGAUAUGAAAGUCAGAAGUGAAAUCCCAGGGCUCAACCCUGGAACUGCUUUUGAAACUCCAUAUCUAGAAUCCGGUAGGGGUCAAGAGAAUUCCUAGUGUAGAGGUGAGAUUCGCAGAUAUUAGGAGGAAUACCAGUGGCGUAGGCGCUUGACUGGACCGGUAUUGACGCUCAUGUACSAAAAGCGUGGGGAGCAAACAGGAUUAGAUACCCUGGUAGUCCACGCCGUAAACGAUGUAUGCUAGUUGUUGGAGUCUUAAGGCUUCAGUGACGCAGAGAAAUCAUUAAGCAUACCGCCUGGGGAGUACGGUCGCAAGAUUAAAACUCAAAGGAAUUGACGGGG
rnacentral:rRNA from 1 species